rnacentral:ribozyme from 1 species
ACAUCCCGCCUGCUUGUAAACUUGCAAUGAUGAAAAAAAAAAAAAAAAAAAAAAAAAAAA